UCCACUGGUGUUUACGCUUCGGGCUGGCU
rnacentral:piRNA from 1 species